rnacentral:ncRNA from 2 species
UAUUGUGCCGCCCUAGCUGGUUCGGCCGAUCAUCCAGAUCGGUCGUCGCAAGAGGGAACCCGGUGUGAGUCCGGGACUGCCCCGCAGCGGUGAACGGGAACGAAAGUCGUCAGAAGCACUGGACGAGGGUGUCUGGGAAGCGACGGCCGGUAGGAGCCGAGAAGGCGUGCCCGUGAGUCCGAAGACCUGCCAGCGACCCGCACGCGCC